GCCCAGGUGGCGGAAUUGGCAGACGCACCAGCUUGAGGUGCUGGCGCCCUUUUUGGGCUUGCAAGUUCAAGUCUUGUCCUGGGCACCA
rnacentral:tRNA from 1 species